GGCGGCGUGCUUAACACAUGCAAGUCAAGGAGAACAUUUCCUUCGGGAAAUUAUUAAACUGGCGAACGGGUGAGUAACGCGUAGGCAACCUGCCCUAGAGAUUGGGAUAACUCCGGGAAACCGGUGCUAAUACCGAAUAAUGCAGCGGAUCCUUCGGGAUACAGUUGUUAAAGCGGGCUUCGGCUCGCACUUUAGGAUGGGCCUGCGUCCGAUUAGCUUGUUGGUAGGGUAACGGCUUACCAAGGCGAUGAUCGGUAGCUGGUCUGAGAGGAUGAUCAGCCACACUGGGAUUGAGAUACGGCCCAGACUCCUACGGGAGGCAGCAGUGGGGAAUUUUGCGCAAUGGGGGAAACCCUGACGCAGCAACGCCGCGUGACCGAUGAAGCUUUUAGGAGCGUAAAGGUCUGUCGUAAGGGAAGAAAAGUUUGGAUGUAAAUAAUGUUCGAACCUGACGGUACCUUACAAGAAAGCACCGGCUAACUUAGUGCCAGCAGCCGCGGUAAUACUAGGGGUGCGAGCGUUGUCCGGAAUCAUUGGGCGUAAAGGGUCCGUAGGCGUCCCAAAAAGUCAUUUGUUAAAUACACCGGCUUAACCGGUGGCCUGCAUUUGAAACUGUUGGGAUAGAGUAUAGGAGAGGAAAGUGGAAUUCCUGGUGUAGCGGUGACAUGCGUAGAUAUCAGGAGGAACACCAAUGGCGAAGGCAGCUUUCUGGCCUAUUACUGACGCUGAGGGACGAAAGCGUGGGGAGCGAACAGGAUUAGAUACCCUGGUAGUCCACGCCGUAAACGAUGAGUACUUGGUGUCGGGGGAAUCGACCCCCUCGGUACCGGAGCUAACGCAUUAAGUACUCCGCCUGGGAACUACNACCGCAAGGUUGAAACU
rnacentral:rRNA from 1 species